CUUCCAACUUGUUGCUGUCUUGAAUUAGUUCAUACUGUUGCCAUGGGUGAUUGCAGUGUUGGCGACUUUCUGCUGGUAUUCCUCCUCUUGGCCAUCCCUCACAAUGGAUUGUCUGAAAAAGAUGGAGAAGGUGAGGUACCGGUCAUCCGGCCUGUUGAAUGUUUACAACUGUACUCGAAGCCGACUGGUCACAAAGGAGACACGUUGAUCAUUGGAUCCAAUUCCACGUACCAGAGUGUCAAACACGUUUUUCCUGAUUUUGACAAUGAAGAUUGUGCUCCAAUGAAUAGCGAGGAAUAUGAUGUCAACAAAUAUGGGACCAAAAUUUUCAAGCGCUCAAAUUCUGUAUAUUUCAAUGUACCUGUGGGGGAGCAACUCCACGAAGUGACGGCAACUGAUUAUUUCAUCCAUUUUGGUGUGCAGGCUUUCAAUUGUGAAGUGAAAAAGGAUGGAACUGAAGAAUCGCAACGUUAUGUGAAAAUUGUGAACUCAAUGUCCAGCAUCGAGGACAAUAUUCGUGAGAUAAAAUACCACAGCGGGGUUUCAGUGUCAAUUGAAAAAUGUGGAGGUCGAAAAUGUAUCCAAGUUACCGAGACCAAAUGUAUGGCAGAGCAAGGAGAAGAUCUUGUUCAGUUCAAAUGUGACUAUGCUACUGGAAGACUAUACAGGCCUUCAAUCAUUAUUCCAAAUAUGAAGGAUAAACAUCUUAACCGGAGGGAGAGAACAAUUGCUGGAUAUCUGUUUAAGAGUGAGGAAGAGGGAAAUGUGACCAUAUCUGAGGAGGGGGAAUCGUUCAGGAUAGGCAUCAAUGAGAAUCCUUCUGGAUUUGAUCCAACAACUCCUCCUCAACCAUCGUCUAGACUUAUUAAUGUCGAGUGUCAACCGCCAAUUAUAAACCCAACUAUAUUUCAUCCUGAGUGUUAUCAAAAAGUUAAGAAUGAAGGGAAUAACUUAUUCAAAGAUGUUCUUUUGAAUGAUGAACAAUUUCGGAAAUCAUUCACAGUUGUUGAUGAAACGGUUCAAAUCUGUCAGGAGAGGAAUACGUAUGGGCGAGUCUUCUAUCUUGUGCGAAUGACUGUAAUUGGCAAAACAAAAGUCAAUCGAAUCAUGUAUGGUUCAGGAAUCACCGAGCUAUAUUCCAUCAAUUUUGAUGCCGGAGCAGCCACUGUCCAAUACACGGACGAGAGAAUCUAUGAUGCAAUCACACGUACAAUAGUAUAUGAUGUUUAUUACAAGAAUGCGUUUCUUAUUGACAAGAAAACAAAAAUCUCCACACCUAAUUCAGCGCCAGCUGCUCACACACCUUCAGAUGCCGAAGCCACAUCUCGAUCCCUUGAUGUGGACUACAAGCUAUGGCCUGAAGGAAUCUACUCAACGUUCAUCAGUGGAGAUGGGUAUAGUCUCCUAGUGGGCUCAAAACCCAAAUUAGAUAUUGACUUCGGGACUGCAAGUUGCAAAAAAGUGGAUUAUUUGAGUGAUCAUUACAAAACUGAACUGAAAAUAAUUGCUGAAAACGGUGGAGAAUCCUAUGCUCACUUAACAGAGAAUAUAGAUAAUUGGUCCAGGAUCAUCCAACAACAAUCUUGGAGAUGUGAAUAUAAAGAUAGAACAGAAAGGAGAAGCUAUUUCAUAAGAGUGGUCAAUCACCUGGAGAUUUUAGAACCAGUCCACAUGCUGCAGUCUUAUGAUGGUGUUGAGAUUCUGAGGAGACCAUCUGCAGAGAAAUAUAUACUGGAAAUUUUUGAAUUGAAAUACCUUUUGGAAAAUCCAGAUAACCCAGAGGAUCAUUUAACUCCAAUAAGGGCCAGUGGUGAUAUCAGUUUUGCCGCUGAUGAUAGGCCUAGUGACACUGACACCGCUUAUGCGAUGGGGUGGAUACUUCAUACUUGAAUCAACACCAAGUGGACAAGUUUGGACAAGUGGAACCAUAAAUCUCAAAAAACCACCUUCUUCAUCAAAAGUGACUGUGCACGUGGAUGAGACACAACAAGUGUACUAUUCUGAUGGUAAUAGAGGAAGAGAGUAUAGGUUCCAUUUGCCUGGAGAUCAGACAUCCAAAGAGUGGCAAGAGAAGAGGAUGAUGAGAAUUGGUGAGAUCA
rnacentral:misc_RNA from 1 species